GACGAACGCUGGCGGCGUGCUUAACACAUGCAAGUCGAACGGAAAGGCCCUGCUUUUGUGGGGUGCUCGAGUGACGAACGGGUGAGUAACACGUGAGUAACCUGCCCUUGACUUUGGGAUAACUUCAGGAAACUGGGGCUAAUACCGGAUAGGAGCUCCUGCUGCAUGGUGGGGGUUGGAAAGUUUCGGCGGUUGGGGAUGGACUCGCGGCUUAUCAGCUUGUUGGUGGGGUAGUGGCUUACCAAGGCUUUGACGGGUAGCCGGCCUGAGAGGGUGACCGGCCACAUGGGGACUGAGAUACGGCCCAGACUCCUACGGGAGGCAGCAGUGGGGAAUAUUGCACAAUGGGCGGAAGCCUGAUGCAGCAACGCCGCGUGCGGGAUGACGGCCUUCGGGUUGUAAACCGCUUUCGCCUGGGACGAGGCGUGAGUGACGGUAAUGGGUAAAGAAGCACCGGCUAACUACGUG
rnacentral:rRNA from 1 species